ACAUGCAGUCGAGCGGAUGAGAANGAGCUUGCUCUUCGAUUCAGCGGCGGACGGGUGAGUAAUGCCUAGGAAUCUGCCUGGUAGUGGGGGACAACGUUUCGAAAGGAACGCUAAUACCGCAUACGUCCUACGGGAGAAAGCAGGGGACCUUCGGGCCUUGCGCUAUCAGAUGAGCCUAGGUCGGAUUAGCUAGUUGGUGAGGUAAUGGCUCACCAAGGCGACGAUCCGUAACUGGUCUGAGAGGAUGAUCAGUCACACUGGAACUGAGACACGGUCCAGACUCCUACGGGAGGCAGCAGUGGGGAAUAUUGGACAAUGGGCGAAAGCCUGAUCCAGCCAUGCCGCGUGUGUGAAGAAGGUCUUCGGAUUGUAAAGCACUUUAAGUUGGGAGGAAGGGUUGUUUCCUAAUACGAAGCAAUUUUGACGUUACCGACAGAAUAAGCACCGGCUAACUCUGUGCCAGCAGCCGCGGUAAUACAGAGGGUGCAAGCGUUAAUCGGAAUUACUGGGCGUAAAGCGCGCGUAGGUGGUUUGUUAAGUUGAAUGUGAAAUCCCCGGGCUCAACCUGGGAACUGCAUCCNAAACUGGCAAGCUAGAGUAGGGCAGAGGGUGGUGGAAUUUCCUGUGUAGCGGUGAAAUGCGUAGAUAUAGGAAGGAACACCAGUGGCGAA
rnacentral:rRNA from 1 species